GAGAGAGUACAAAAGAGAGAUGAGGGAGAGAGAGAGACUCAUCUCUCUGUCUCUCUCUCAUCUCUCAUCUCUCUUGUGUACUCUCUCUC
rnacentral:pre_miRNA from 1 species